AUCCAGCUGAUGAGUCCCAAAUAGGACGAAAAACACGCGUUCUGGAU
rfam:Schistosoma mansoni strain Puerto Rico chromosome 6, complete genome